rnacentral:RNase_P_RNA from 1 species
GAUACAAGCCACCUUAUCGCUGCGACUAGAGUAAUCAAAAUCGGAGAGGAAAGUCCGGGCACCAUAGGGAAGCAUAGCGGCUAACGGCCGUCAUCCGCCUUAGCUUUAGCGAAAGCGGAGAGGACAAGUGCAACAGAAAGUAUGUACAGGUAAUGCUGUAGUGAAACCAGGUAAACUCUAUGCGGUGAAAUGUCACAUAUACCUGCUUUUGAGGGUUCCCGCCCAAUGCAGGAGGGUAGGCAGAUGGAUCCCGCCAGUAAUGACGGGGCUAGAUAAAUGAUAAGGGCCUUGACCUAGUUGAGGAACAGAACCCGGCUUAUCGGCUUGUAUCUUUU